AUUGAACGCUAGCGGGAGGCUUAACACAUGCAAGUCGAACGAGUGGCGGACGGGUGAGUAAUAUUUGGGAACCUGGCCAAUAGCGGGGGAUAACUACGGGAAACAGUGGCUAAUACCGCGUACCAUAGGAAGGGCCCAUAUGGGAUUAGCUAGUUGGUGGGGGAAAGGCUAACCAAGCCAACGAUUCCUAGCUGGUGUGAGAGGAGGACCAGCCACACUGGGACUGAGACACGGCCCAGACUCCGACGGGAGGCAGCAGUGGGGAAUUUUGGGCAAUGGGGGCAACCCUGAUGCAGCCAUGCCGCGUGAAUGAUGAAGGCCUUCGGGUUGUAAAGUACUUUCGGCAGAGAAGCGGUAUUUGCAGAAGAAGCACCGGCUAACUCCGUGCCAGCAGCCGCGUUAAUUC
rnacentral:rRNA from 1 species